AUGGAUGUUGACCUCACCAUGGAUGUGGUGGCCCUUACUAGUGCAUAUCAGAUGUGGGAGCACCUUCGCCAUCGCUAUGAGUCUACAGGGGAUGCCAUGUAUCUCUCUGUUGUUCGUCAAGAGCAACAACUACAGCGGGGAGAUGCUACUGUGGAUGAUUUCUACAAGGAGAUGUCGGUGGUGUGGCGCCAAUUGGACUCUUUGGGAGCUGAUGUUUGUCGCAGAUGUCAGUGUUGUGUGCGGCAACAAGCUAAGCUGGAGGUUCGUCGCCUCUACGACUUCCUCACUCGCCUCCGGCCAGAGUUCGAGCAGAGUCGUGCUCAGCUAUUGGCACACCAUCCUCGGCUCUCUACUCUGGAGGCCCAUGCUGAGGUUCAAUCUGAGGAGGUGCGUCUAUGGAGCACGGGCUUAUUGCCAUCUUCUUCAGCAGUCCUGGCUGCCCGCGUUCCACCACCGCUGUCUGGUGUGCCCUCUUCUACAUAG
rnacentral:rRNA from 1 species